GACGAACGCUGGCGGCGUGCUUAACACAUGCAAGUCGAACGGAAAGGCCCUGCUUUUGUGGGGUGCUCGAGUGGCGAACGGGUGAGUAACACGUGAGUAACCUGCCCUUGACUUUGGGAUAACUUCAGGAAACUGGGGCUAAUACCGGAUAGGAGCUCCUGCUGCAUGGUGGGGGUUGGAAAGUUUCGGCGGUUGGGGAUGGACUCGCGGCUUAUCAGCUUGUUGGUGGGGUAGUGGCUUACCAAGGCUUUGACGGGUAGCCGGCCUGAGAGGGUGACCGGCCCCCAUGGGACUGGGGUUCGGGCCCGACUCCCACGGGAGGCAGCAGUGGGGAAUAUUGCACAAUGGGCGGAAGCCUGAUGCAGCAACGCCGCGUGCGGGAUGACGGCCUUCGGGUUGUAAACCGCUUUCGCCUGUGACGAAGCGUGAGUGACGGUAAUGGGUAAAGAAGCACCGGCUAACUACGUG
rnacentral:rRNA from 1 species